UCAUUAACUGAAUCCAUAGGUUAAUGAGGCGAACCGGGGGAACUGAAACAUCUAAGUACCCCGAGGAAAAGAAAUCAACCGAGAUUCCCCCAGUAGCGGCGAGCGAACGGGGAGCAGCCCAGAGCCUGAAUCAGUGUGUGUGUUAGUGGAAGCGUCUGGAAAGGCGCGUGAUACAGGGUGACAGCCCCGUACACAAAAAUGCACAUGCUGUGAGCUCGAUGAGUAGGGCGGGACACGUGGUAUCCUGUCUGAAUAUGGGGGGACCAUCCUCCAAGGCUAAAUACUCCUGACUGACCGAUAGUGAACCAGUACCGUGAGGGAAAGGCGAAAAGAACCCCGGCGAGGGGAGUGAAAAAGAACCUGAAACCGUGUACGUACAAGCAGUGGGAGCACGCUUAGGCGUGUGACUGCGUACCUUUUGUAUAAUGGGUCAGCGACUUAUAUUCUGUAGCAAGGUUAACCGAAUAGGGGAGCCGAAGGGAAACCGAGUCUUAACUGGGCGUUAAGUUGCAGGGUAUAGACCCGAAACCCGGUGAUCUAGCCAUGGGCAGGUUGAAGGUUGGGUAACACUAACUGGAGGACCGAACCGACUAAUGUUGAAAAAUUAGCGGAUGACUUGUGGCUGGGGGUGAAAGGCCAAUCAAACCGGGAGAUAGCUGGUUCUCCCCGAAAGCUAUUUAGGUAGCGCCUCGUGAAUUCAUCUCCGGGGGUAGAGCACUGUUUCGGCAAGGGGGUCAUCCCGACUUACCAACCCGAUGCAAACUGCGAAUACCGGAGAAUGUUAUCACGGGAGACACACGGCGGGUGCUAACGUCCGUCGUGAAGAGGGAAACAACCCAGACCGCCAGCUAAGGUCCCAAAGUCAUGGUUAAGUGGGAAACGAUGUGGGAAGGCCCAGACAGCCAGGAUGUUGGCUUAGAAGCAGCCAUCAUUUAAAGAAAGCGUAAUAGCUCACUGGUCGAGUCGGCCUGCGCGGAAGAUGUAACGGGGCUAAACCAUGCACCGAAGCUGCGGCAGCGACGCUUAUGCGUUGUUGGGUAGGGGAGCGUUCUGUAAGCCUGUGAAGGUGUACUGUGAGGUAUGCUGGAGGUAUCAGAAGUGCGAAUGCUGACAUAAGUAACGAUAAAGCGGGUGAAAAGCCCGCUCGCCGGAAGACCAAGGGUUCCUGUCCAACGUUAAUCGGGGCAGGGUGAGUCGACCCCUAAGGCGAGGCCGAAAGGCGUAGUCGAUGGGAAACAGGUUAAUAUUCCUGUACUUGGUGUUACUGCGAAGGGGGGACGGAGAAGGCUAUGUUGGCCGGGCGACGGUUGUCCCGGUUUAAGCGUGUAGGCUGGUUUUCCAGGCAAAUCCGGAAAAUCAAGGCUGAGGCGUGAUGACGAGGCACUACGGUGCUGAAGCAACAAAUGCCCUGCUUCCAGGAAAAGCCUCUAAGCAUCAGGUAACAUCAAAUCGUACCCCAAACCGACACAGGUGGUCAGGUAGAGAAUACCAAGGCGCUUGAGAGAACUCGGGUGAAGGAACUAGGCAAAAUGGUGCCGUAACUUCGGGAGAAGGCACGCUGAUAUGUAGGUGAAGUCCCUCGCGGAUGGAGCUGAAAUCAGUCGAAGAUACCAGCUGGCUGCAACUGUUUAUUAAAAACACAGCACUGUGCAAACACGAAAGUGGACGUAUACGGUGUGACGCCUGCCCGGUGC
rnacentral:rRNA from 1 species